rnacentral:rRNA from 1 species
UACGGGGGGGGCAAGCGUUGUUCGGAAUUACUGGGCGUAAAGAGCUCGUAGGCGGUGUGUCGCGUCGGCCGUGAAAACCUGCAGCUUAACUGUGGGCGUGCGGUCGAUACGGGCAUCACUGGAGUUCGGCAGGGGAGACUGGAAUUCCUGGUGUAGCGGUGAAAUGCGCAGAUAUCAGGAGGAACACCGGUGGCGAAGGCGGGUCUCUGGGCCGAUACUGACGCUGAGGAGCGAAAGCGUGGGGAGCGAACAGG